rnacentral:rRNA from 1 species
GCUAAACGCGAAGAACCUUACCUGGCCUUGACAUGCAGAGAACUUUCCAGAGAUGGAUUGGUGCCUUCGGGAACUCUGACACAGGUGCUGCAUGGCUGUCGUCAGCUCGUGUCGUGAGAUGUUGGGUUAAGUCCCGCAACGAGCGCAACCCUUGUCCUUAGUUGCCAUCAUUAAGUUGGGAACUCUAAGGAGACCGCCGGUGACAAACCGGAGGAAGGUGGGGAUGACGUCAAGUCAUCAUGGCCUUUAUGGCCAGGGCUACACACGUGCUACAAUGGCAGGUACAGAGGGAAGCCAACCGGCGACGGGGAGCUAAUCCCAGAAAGCCUGUCUUAGUCCGGAUUGCAGUCUGCAACUCGACUGCAUGAAGUUGGAAUCGCUAGUAAUCGCAGAUCAGCAUUGCUGCGGUGAAUACGUUCCCGGGUCUUGUACACACCG